CAGAGGCUUUGAAUUAUUCACACAGUCUCCAAGAGAGCAGUACCAAAUCUCAACCAUUUGAGCGGUUCAUGUCUGCAACCACUGCAAACAUUUCUCUGUCACUUUACCUUGAAUGACAGUAUACCCGAACCUUCUCCACAUGGAGGCUGUAGCAUUCACUUUGUUCCCAGAGAUUCUCACUUUCCAUGGUUCGCCUUUUUGAAGUCAAGCUUUGACAACCCCUGGGAUCUCCACUGUGUGCUAAGUCAAACAGUGAGCUGGAAAUUAACUGCAGCGCAAUUUGAAUACAGCCAAAAUUCUCCGAGAAAGAUGCGAAUCUACUUGCGUGCUCCACUUCUUGACAGAUGGGAAAAUGCUGCAUAAUGGUGAGAGAAUAUUAACAUCAUCGUUAUAAUCAAAUUAAUAAUUAUGAUGUCUCUUUUGUGAUCACAUAUUUCUUUAUUUUGACUGUGAGUACUGAUCUGACUCAAGCCGUAAAUCAGUCCGGUUUUCACUCCCAUGUCUUUAAUGGACCAUUUAAUAAUACGGGAAAGCACAUCAAGUGUGUCAAGAAGGAAAACAGAAGGAGAGAGAAACAGCACCAGAGGAGAUGGCUUCACUGACAUGACAAGAAAGCAUAUUGAUUUCUCUUUAGGGUCACUGAACUCAGUGGGACAUUGCAGAAUAGGAGAAAGAGGGUCCCUCUCUGUUUCGCAGUGGAUUGCCAUGGUGACGAUGCACAGGCUGUGCUUGGCCUUGGUUUGUAUGGUGUGCCCUAAUUUCCAUCUGAAAGGUUUGUUCGCUUUCACUAUCUCACCGCUGAAUCCACUUCAGCCAGCGAUACAUAUCUCUCACAGUUCUUUCUCACUUUCUCUCGCUGUUUUCACCCUCCAUUUGUAUUUUACGCUCCCUUUGAUGAACCAUGGGGAGGUACUGAUUCCCAUUUUGGACGUGUCUGACCCCUAUUGAAAGGUCUGCGGGGCCAGUCAUUCAAUUUGCCCUGUAGGAAAUACAGGACUAGAAGCUUUCAAAAAAAGAGAGUGAUAGAACAAUUCUCUUAAAAAUGAAUAAAACAAGAAUCCAUCCUUUGUUUUACCUUGGUCUUCUGUGUCACCGAGCAUGUUUAAAAGCAUGUUGACAUUCAGUCAAAAGACAAAAAAAAAUUGUGCCGUUGUCUGCUCUUUUCAGCUGUUUUUUUUUUUUUUUAUCUGACAAGAAAGAGAUAGACACAUUUAAAAUGCUUAUGUCUCUGGCUCUUUAGGUGGUGUUAAUGAGCCAUGCUGUUAUUGUUUAAUUUCUCUUGAUCUUGAGGGUUGCAGUAGUCAUGUUCCUUCCAUCCAGCCCUAAUCAUGUAGCAGUCUGUAAAACCUAAUUUUGAAUUUUGUACAUUUCUUAUUCUUUGAUCGUAGUUAAAGUUCCCUUAAUUGCAGUGGAACAGCUUUCUUUAAACUCCAUCUUUUGCACUUUAUAUCAGCAAACUAGUCGUGGCUGGUGCUUUUUGAAGAGUGGGGAAGCACAGAUGUAAGUGACAUAAAGGAUACUUCGAUCUGUUUCUUUCCUGUCUACAUGCAGGGUUGCUCAUAAAAGCAGCUUCUCAAAGUACUACUAUGCAUUUAAAUUAAUUGAAAAUAACUGAUUAAACACAGAACAGUUUGCAAUGUUUACAUUUGCCCAAAAGUAAAAGUAUAAAAAUUAAAGUAUAUGAAUGAGUAUGUUAGAGUUUACUCUACCAUUCAAAAGUUUGGGUUGGGUCCUAUUGUAAUAUAUUUUAUAAUUAUAUUUAUUUCUGUGAUGGCAAAGCUGAACUUUCAGCAGCCAUUACUCCGGUCUUCAGAAAUCAUUCUAAUAUGCUGAGUUGGUGCUCAAGAAACAUUUAUUAUUUUCAGAAUUGAAAACAGGUGUUUAUAUAAAGUAAUAUUUUUCACUAUAUUGAAAUACAAUUCUUCAAAUAGAAAACUCAAAGGAACAGCAUUUGAAAUAGAAAUGUUUUGUAACACACUCUUUACUUUUGAUCGGUUUAAAGUGUCCUUGCUGAAUAAAACUUGAUUUCUUUCUAAAUAAAAAAUCUCUGCUACCAUACUUAUGAGCAACAGUGUAGUUCUGAAAUGCUUAAUGUGGAGAAUUAGAUAUUUAGGUAUUACAAACAGUAACCUCAUGAAUUUCUGUAAAGCUGCUUUUAAAAGCUGUGUACUAUUUAAUCUGCAUACACUCAGUAAAGUAUUGCUGACCAAGAAGCAAACAAUUAAGGUUGAUCUUCAGUAGCAUGUGCAAGUUACUAAAGGAUUUAUGCUAAUGUUGUCCAAAACGUGAAUAGAUGAAUAGAUGUAGUCACAAAGAAAUCGUCAAACAUCUAAACCAGGUCAUCUGCUGUAUGCCGUUGGUCCAACUGUUGAUGUGAGGACGUUUGAAGCACCUGGCUCCUGCUCAAGAAUAUACCGUAAACUCUAUCCUUCUGAAUGUGUGUCGUCCCUGAGGCAACAAGGGCCAGGAUACUGACUUCUGUUGUGCAUUCUGUAUCUCUAAUGACUUUCUCCUUCAUUAGCCUGAUUCAUUCAGGAUGGCAGUGCCCCUGCCCCCACCAACACCGAUCCUGGAGGCUAGAAAGCACUGAGGCCGAGAACUAUGUCGACGAGGAUCUGAGAGGACAUGUCUCCAUGGCAACACUAGGGGAGUGUUCCUUUUUCAAAUGAGAGAAUGAGUUAUCUCUGUUUCCCCUUCGUUUCCCUUUGGCUGUGCUUUUCCUUUCUUUUCCCUCCGUCUCUCUCUGCCGACGUUAAGCACUUUGUGUUCAAGACACAGCUAAUUGCAUCUGGAAGUUCUUGAAAGAGAUUUCUGCUCUUCAUAAGUGCACAUUUCUUUAUUGUAAAGAAUGUUUGAAUCAUUAAUCGGAGACAUAAAUCAACAAGUGUCCGGUUUCUAUUCCCAAAUCUUUAAUGGCCCUUUUCAAUAAAAGAUUCAAUGUAUAACAUAUCACUUUCUUUGAUCAGACCAGUUUCACAGUACGUUUGCAUUUAAUAUUCAGCAUCUCUGGGCCAUGUACUUUGUUUCUGGCAAGUUGUCAUGGUUUUGCACUCUGGUUUUAAUUGAAUCCCUGAUCAUAUUUCAAAGAAAACCCCUUGUGGAACAGGAUAUUGCAGAGAAAAUUGGAUCUUUAUCUUUGUUUUUGUGAGGUGAGAGGAAUUCAUUUAUAAGGCCUGCAGUGGCCCCUGUCUCAUUGAGUUGACGGGGCCAAAACUCUUGCCGUGACCUGAGCAGUGGAAAAGAGUGGGGAUUGAAGACCGAGGCUUCACAACACUGGUGUCAUUCUUCUGAAACUUGUCAUUUGGUCUCCCUGCAGUUGACUUACCUGGGUUUUUUCACUGUCCCAAAGUGAUUCCCUGGACCUCUCUCACAGAAAGUCACAUUGCCUCUACAAUUUGACACAAAAUGGAUCAUUUACUUCCAAACUGACAGUUUGUCCAGUGAGAAUCUACACAGGAGCAUAUCCUACUACGGGAGCUAGUGUCACUUCAGGCAGAGCAUCCCAUCACCUUUGCAGGUUCUCUCAUAUAAAAAGGCGAACUCUUGAGCUUUGAGGAAUUAGGGCUAGUCAUCAUUCUAUACCUGUCAAAGAAGUUAGAGUUGAGGUGGAAAUGAUGAGAUGCCUUUGAAGAAGGCUACCUAUCAAGCUUUUUGACUGAAAUAGAGAGGAAAAAGUAGAAAAGAAGGCAGGUGACAGGAGAUGCUGGCAGACUGCACCGCAGGAAGCCUGAAUUGGGAAAGAUCUGAGGCUCUCUGCCAUCUUUUCAGGUAACAUGAUACCAUAAUACUUCAGUCCCAUUAUCCCAUAGGCUCAGAGCACUUUCACUCCAAAGGAAAUAGGGAGGGAUCUAAUGUGAAGCCAACAUCCUCGGUGGACAAUUACUGGAAGCUUUUACCCAACAACAAAUUCCUGAGAAUAGGUAAAAACUAUAAAAAUAUGACUGAAAUACAUUUUAUCUUUGCGUCCUGUCACGUGGGAAUGCCCGCUGCUGCUGUAGACUCCCAAAUGCAUUUUUGGUAGAUGAAGGAGCUUUGUUCAUCCUUAAUCAGUCAUGAUGUUUUGAUCUAGUUUACAAGCCAGAGUACCUUGUAUAGUGCAAGCAAGCUGUUCUUUAAGACGUGACUUUGGUUCCAUUUACCAGUGCUGCUGGGAUUGUUGUCCGCAGUCAGGUAAACAGAGCGACAGCUUAAUCCGUUUCUGAUAUGAUUUCAAGCAGACGAAGGCUAACACUCUCAGUCAGCCAGAGAUGAGACUGUUUUUUUUUUUUUUUUUUUUUUUUUGGAAAAGCAGCUAGAUGUAUCUGCCGACCUUGUUUUACAACAGGAAAGAGAUUCUUUAUGAAUUAUUUGUUUUCUUGACAGAGAUGACUAGAAGACGACACAUAUAGCUGCAUUUAUAAGCUAGAAUGUGUUCUUAUAGAAAAUUCCACCUUGUAAUAUUUCUUUUAAAUUAUUUAUUAUUUUAUGUUUAUUAUUACUCAUUGCAAAAAACAAACACAUAUUAAUUAAAAAUGUGUUUGUGCUUUAGUUUGUGCACUAAUCUAGCUUACACUGUACUUUAAACUUGGCAUUGUGUAUUAUUGGCUCUUACGACAAAUUGCUUCCCUAUUUGCAAGUCUCUUCGGAUAAAAGCGUGUUUUAAAUAAAUAAAUGUAAAUGUACUUUAAUGUUGUUAUUAGUGUUGUUUGCUAAGGCAUAAUACUUUAGGGAUUUGAACAAACUUCUCACCUUAAUUUAUCACAUUUCAGUGUGUAAUUGCACUGUUUUUUACCUCACAACAUGCAGCUUGAGGUAGGCCAUUUCUCUUGUAAGUGAUUAAAGUUUUUGCCCAGCAGACAAAUAAAAAAACCUGCUUCAACUAGAAAGAGGGACCCAAGCCAAAUGUAAGGACUGUAGUAUCACAGACUUUUGAUUUUGGCCAGUUAGCAACCAACACCCUAGCGAUCACUCAUCUGUUGAAUUAAAGCGACAGAUUUUGCAAACACCAUUCUACGCAAGUUCUCUUCCAAAAUUUUUACAGUGAAAACUGAUCUUUAGAACUCGAGCUGAAAAGGAAAUACAUGAAAAGUUGUUUUUGUACAAAGGGCGAAGGGGACACAAGCUUCUCUGUAAUGCCUCGUUUAAGCUUGGAAAGAUUCCGAGCACAACAAACAAUAGCAAUCAAACACUAUGGGCUAAAGAGUGUGUGAGAGAGGGUCCAGUAUAGUGUUAUUCCUUGCCGGAAGAAACGAAAAAGAAACAAGCAACAAAACUGCUCAUCAGGGAAUGUUAGCAGACUGAUAGAUGAGUAUACCAUUGCUUAAUUGUGUUCCUGUUAGGAGGAGCCCAGAUGUGCAUUUGAGAUGUAGUCAAAGGUUUGAUGAGAGUGGCUAGGUGCCAGAGGAGUUGAUUUCCAGCAAAGCACAGAGAACCAAUCAAAUUAGGGUUAAAUUAGAGAGAAGAUAUGUUGAGUUUCAGUCCUCCCCUGUGUCUUUCUCUGCAGUGAAACUGAAUGAAAGAUUAGCUUCAUCAGCUACUACACACAGGUUAUAACUUCUAACUAAGCUUCUGUCAUUUAAAAGACAUCUUUUUGUCAAUCUGCUGUAGAUACAGUAGAUGUUUUUACCUUCAUUUGGGAGAAGUCUACACAGAGAAUGAAAAAUAACUUUUAACCUGCCCAUGAACUCUGUCAAUCAUAUGGCAGUGCACGGAGCCCUCACCUGGGGCAGCAUCAGAGUGCUGUUUCUGACCUUGACGCUGUCAGUGGCAGUCAAAUUUGUCAGCAGCUGUCACUGUAGGGGACUACAUUUCCAAACUGUGAGGUAAUGGGGAGGACAGAGAAGAUUGUUGGCCAGCAAAGGGUUAGGGACAGAAGAGGGCAUUUGGCUGAGAAUUUGGUGUUAAACCUUCAGGGCUCCAUUCAAAAUCGUUGAAUUUGGAUGAAGCUGACUCUAUAUUUGUCCUCCAGGGGGGAUGCCAGAGAAGAAAAACAACAGACCUCUACCCAUUUGACCAUCUGUGCAUUAGUGACCUCCAUGUGGUCAAGCUGACAUUGCCAGCAAGUGAAGAGAAGGGCCAGGAUGUAGGAUCCACACACCUGUUUGGGGUGCACCACUGACUGAGCCAAAUAUAGACAGUUUCCAUGGCAAUUGCAGAGAAUCUUUCUCAGGUGGAGGGGCUGCUGCAGUCCAAUAGCAGGAUGUGUUUUUCUAAAUGGCUAUAGGGGUCUAUUGCGUAAUGCCAUUUUCCGGGAAAUUGAAAAAGAAGUCCUGUUGCUUCAUGCACAAGUCACUUGUGCAAUCAGGUGACACUGAGAGAACAUUGGAAGUUAAAAGUAAUGUUUUGCUGGUUUUGUCUUUUUUUUUUUUAUGCUCCAAGAGCAAUGCUGUGAACUCCUCAACUUUGAACUUUUCACUUAAAUCUGAUUUGUGAGAAUUUGGAACCUUGUUGUUCCUUGAUCAACAAGGAUGUGGAUGAAGUUGUGCUACUCUGUAAAAUGGCAGUCACAUUUGUUUAUCCAUAGUGCUUCGUCUUGAUCUAGCUGUGAAAUAAGGCAUAUCACAAAUACAUGUUGCACCAUUGCAUUGGCUAGAAUGAUUGAAUCACUUUGUACUUUGAAUGCCAGCUCCCCCUGGGCAUUAUAUUUGGUACUGCAUGUCCGUUGAACCUCCAACUGUGCAAGUAAAUGUCUAUAAAACAUUUUUUCUCUGUUCUUGGGAUGUCUGAGGCUCAGUUCAGUGUCCAUGGAGUUCCCUUUGUUACAUCUUCAGAUAUCAUUUGGUACUUUGGCUUUUUUGGAAACAGUUAAUAUCUUUCUUCAAAAAAGGGUCAACAUCGUUCAUCUACCAUCUUAGGUAUUUUAAAAUCUAUUUAUCUAUUUUGUCUGUUCUUGUUUGACACAUGAUAAGAGUGUGAAGAUGAAAAUCCUCUCAUCAUUUACUCACCCUCUUGUCAUUCCAAACCUGUGUGACUUUUUUUUUUUUUU